rnacentral:misc_RNA from 1 species
UCUCCGUUGGUGAACCAGCGGAGGGAUCAUUACAGGAACUCGCAAGACUCCUAACCCACUGAGAACCUACCCGACGUUGCCUCGGCGGGCGCCCGGCCUCGCGCCGGGCACCAAGCCCGCCGGCGGCCCCCUACUCUGUCUCUGCAGCGUUGUGUCUCCGAGUAUACCAAAACAAGUCAAAACUUUCAACAACGGAUCUCUUGGCUCUA